CAGCCGCCGCGGUAAUACGUAGGGUGCGAGCGUUAAUCGGAAUUACUGGGCGUAAAGCGUGCGCAGGCGGUUAUGUAAGACAGUUGUGAGAUCCCCGGGCUCAACCUGGGAACUGCAUCUGUGACUGCAUAGCUAGAGUACGGUAGAGGGGGAUGGAAUUCCGCGUGUAGCAGUGAAAUGCGUAGAUAUGCGGAGGAACACCGAUGGCGAAGGCAAUCCCCUGGACCUGUACUGACGCUCAUGCACGAAAGCGUGGGGAGCAAACAGGAUUAGAUACCCGUGUAGUCCCUGUCUCUUAUAC
rnacentral:rRNA from 1 species